rnacentral:rRNA from 1 species
UACGGGGGGUGCAAGCGUUGUUCGGAUUUACUGGGCGUAAAGGGCGCGUAGGCGGCCAGCACAAGUCAGUUGUGAAAUCUCCGAGCUUAACUCGGAAAGGUCAACUGAUACUGUGCGGCUAGAGUGCAGAAGGGGCAACUGGAAUUCUUGGUGUAGCGGUGAAAUGCGUAGAUAUCAAGAGGAACACCUGCGGCGAAGGCGGGUUGCUGGGCUGACACUGACGCUGAGGCGCGAAAGCUAGGGGAGCGAACGGG